CAUCGCCCGUCACUCUCAUUAAUUAUUUUUAGUUGAGAUAAGUCGUAACAUAGUGGUUGUACUGGAAAGUGUAGCUG
rnacentral:rRNA from 1 species